GGGUGAAGUUCAGUUCCGAUACUGUAAAGCUCCCGGCCCUGUUCAGGGUCGAUCCUGUC
rnacentral:ncRNA from 1 species